UGACACAUCCAACUAUAAUACAGCCUCACUGAACUCCACAAAGCCAACACAUACCUCUUCUAGCAUAAAAUUGUCUAAGAACACACAACACCACUCACUGUUGAUCUGUUCACUUAUGUCUUGAGAUUUUAAUCCUUCCAAAAUCUAGAAAAGAUGGGUAUUUCUCAACACUGUCCAUAUUCAAUCUAGAGAGAAAUUGAGACAACUUCUUCACAAAGACAAAGAGAAUAAACAGGCAGCAGAUAUGAAGAAAGAUUUUAAGAAAAAUAUGAUGAAGAUUACAACUGUUUAAAAUCAAUACAGAAGCUCAGCUUGAAUAGAAUGUGGAAAGAUAUUCUUAAAAGACUGUUGAAUCUCAGUCUCAAAGAACACACUCCACACAGCAUUUGAUUGUUGCAGUGAGAAAAUAAAUCAAGUUACAAAAAUGAUCUCAUGUAGCAAAAUCUUUCUUAAUGAGAAUUAGAUAUCUUGUUGCAUAAAUUCUAUUAGAUAUGAAUGAACCA
rnacentral:sRNA from 2 species